AGGAGCCGUGUGAGGGGAAAUGCUCAUGCACGGUUCUGGAUUGGCAGUGGAGGGAGCAAUCCCUUCGCCGACCAUAC
rfam:Ktedonobacter sp. 13_2_20CM_2_56_8 13_2_20cm_2_scaffold_19878, whole genome shotgun sequence.